CAGUUAGUGCCCAUCUCAACAAGCUAUUCUUGGGCAGUUGGCAAACUUGGCAUAUAAAGCAUACCUUAUUCGUUGUUUAUUAAGCUCAUUUUCCUCUUUAAAUUUUGAUUAAUAAAUAAAUAAAACUCCAAAUUAGUUGUUAGCAAUCUGGCACGUACAACAACAAUCACAAAGAGAGUGAAACUGUGUGUGAUUAGCGAGAAGGGCUCUGAGAAUCAUCGGAAAAAAGGUGUUCAGAUACUGGAAAUUAGGGUGUAAUGUUAUCAAGUAUGAGAUUCAAGAAAGGGAGUAAAGUGGAAGUAUUAAGCAAAAAGGAGGUGCCUUCGGGCUCCUGGCGAUGUGCUGAGAUUAUCUGUGGUAAUGGCUACAACUACACUGUUAGAUAUGAUGGGAAUGAGAGCGCCAACGAUGAGGCUGUUGCAGAGAGGGUAUCAAGGAACACCAUUAGGCCUUGCCCUCCUCCACUUGGAAUUUCAGAGAACUGGGUUCGUGGUUCUGUUGUGGAGGUGUUUGACAAUUUUUCUUGGAAAAUGGCAACAGUUUCACAGGUUUUGGGGAGAAAGUACUUUUUAGUCAGGUUACUUGGGUCAUCUCUGGAAUUCAAAGUCUUCAAGUUUAACAUCCGGGCAAGGCAGUCUUGGCAUGAUGACAAAUGGGUUGUGGUUGGAAAGGGUUGUGGAAAUUUUGAAGGUGGAAAACAUGAUGAACAUUCAAAUCUGAAGUGCAAUCUAAAUUUAAGCUACCAAUUUCACAAGACAAACACAAGGGUGAAUCUAAGUGUAGAAGAUGACUAUUUUCCUGUUAAGAACAGAAUGAAUUUCCAGGAGUCCCAUGUUGUUUCAUCUAAAACUUUGAAGAGAGGGUCACCCUAUUGCUAUUCUCAAGUUGAAGUAUAUGCUGGAGUCAACCAUAAAUUUAGAGCAAUAGAAAAAGAGGGUGAGUGUCACCGAGUGAAAGCUGCCAAUUCAUCCACAUUGCCCAAAAAGGUAGACGCUGUUGCUUUCCCGAGAGACAUGCUGGGUGAAAAAUGCAUAAACGUUUCUUCUAACAACAGAACAACUGGGAUAUCUGAAGUGGAAGUAGAAAGGAGGAAACCGACUGGCAUUGUGGGGUGUUCAUUUCCAAACUUAGAAUCAAAUUAUGCUGAUAGUGUUACAUGUUCUGUUGGUAGUUGUAGCAUCACUAGCAACAGUUCCUAUAAGAUCCCUCAUCAUGUUUCUGCAGGUCAUAUUGAGGAUGAUGAUGGUCAUUGGAGUGAUGCCGAAUCUUUUUGUCAGUGGGGGUAUGAGGAAGGAAAUUCUCUCCUUCCUACAAAAGAGGAACUAGCAGCUGAAAUACAUAGGGCUGAAGUAGUAAGGCCUGUGCACCCCACCCCAAAACUUCUAAAGAUGAUGCCACCUGUGAGCCUCAGAUAUCUGUGUUGCUGAAGGAUGCAAGACCAGAAUCUUGUGGCAGCCACGGAUGACCUGAUAUGUGGAUGCUUGAAAGCUUAGUGAGAAGUUGGCCAAUUCUCCUCGGGAAGCAGAUAUUGCUAAUAAUCGCAUACACAUCUGCAUUAGUAGAAGCGGCCAGAGCUACCUCUUUGUUAGCAUGGAUGACCACAAGCUGCCAUUUUGUCGAUGAGAGGUCAGGUUGUGCACUUGUUCUUCUUCGGUUUAUGGCGGUGCUUAUUCUCUGGUUGGGGCUUUUUGAGCCCUUUUGUCAUUUGAAACCGCUUCGUGCAGCCCUUGGAGAGGCCCGACUUUUUUGUGAUUCUUCUGGAGUCAUGGGUGAUAACCAUUGCCUACUGUUAUUUGUUUGUUUUUGUGUUUGGUUGCCUUUUCUGUUGGAGUUUAGUUGAUUUGUUGUUGUUCUUUUUGGGUUAGUUGUUGAGGAGCCCACCCCUUCUUUAUUUGUAGGAUUCUCCACUUCUUCCUUUUGGAUCAGAAGUGGAAAUGAUCCUCUCUUGUAACCCUUUUCCUCAAUCAAUUAGAGAGAGAAAAAAAAAUAAAAAAUAAAAAAAU